UACGUAGGAGACGAGCGUUGUCCGGAGUUACUGGGCGUAAAGGGUGCGCAGGUGGCGGCGCGCGUGGGGGGUGAAAUCGCCCGGCUUAACUGGGCGGGGGCCUUCCAGACGGCGUGGCUUGAGCAGCGGAGGGGGACGUGGAAUUCCGGGUGUAGCGGUGGAAUGCGUAGAGAUCCGGAAGAACACCGGUGGCGAAGGCGGCCUGCUGGGCAGUGGCUGACGCUGAGGCGCGACAGCGUGGGGAGCAAACAGG
rnacentral:rRNA from 1 species